rnacentral:lncRNA from 1 species
AGUUGAGGGAAACCCCGAAGAACCAGCAAUUGAAGGAAAAUCUAAAGAACUUGUUGAUGAAGAGACACCUGAUGUACCAGUGGUUGAGAAACCUGAAAAACAAAUGGUUGAGGAGAAACUUGAAGAACCAAUGAUUGAGGAGAAAUCUGACGAACUAGUCGAGGAGAAAUCUCAACAACCAGCGGCUGAAAAGAAACCUGAAGAACCAGCAGCUAAAGAAUCACCUAAAGAGGUAGCAGGGGAGGAAACAUCUGAAGAACUAGCACUUGAAGAGAAACUUAAAGAACCAACAGUUGAAGAGAUACCUAAAGAACUAGUUCUUGAAGAUAAACCUGGAAACCCAGAAAAUGAAGAGGAUAAACUUGAAACAGUAACUCUCCAGGAAAAGGUAAGAAACAAGCAGUGUCACAGAGUUUAUCCAUCCUAUUAGCUCUAUAUAUGCAACGAAUUCACAUCUGUUUAUCCACUGAAAGACCAAGUGAAACUUUAAAUUUUCUUGCAGAAUUUACCAAUUGCAGACUCAAAGGACAAGACUGACAAUGCAACUCCCUACAACAACAAUGAUAUUGCUGACUAUGUAGCAGUUAAGGAAAAAACUGAAGAACCAGUAGUUGAGGAAAAACAUGAAGAACCGGCAAUUGAAGAGAAAUCUGAAGAAUCAGCAUUAAUGAAAAAAACUGAAGAACCAGCGGUUGAGGUAAAACCUGAAGAACCGUCAGUGGAAAAGAAGCCUGAAGAACCAGCGGUUAGGAAAAAACCUGAAGAACCAGCAGUUAAUGAGGAACCUGAAAAAUCAGCAACGGAAGAGAAACCUGAAGAACCAAUUGUUGAGGAGAAACUUGAAGAACCAACUCUUGAAGAGAAACCUGGAAAAUCAGUAAUUGAAGAAACACCUGAAGAACCAACACUGGAAGUAACACCUAAAGAACAAGCGUUUAAAGAGAAACCAGAAGAACCAGCAGUUGAAGAGGAAAAAUCUGACAAGGUAACUCUUUUGGAAAAGGUGAGCAUCAAACAUUGUCACAAAUUUUAGCCAUCCUACUAGUUCUGUAUGUGCAAUAAUUCGUAUCAACUUAUCUAUUGAAAGACUAAGUGAAACUUUAAUUCUUCUUGCAGAAUAUACCAGUUGUAGAUUUCAAUGAUAAGACUGACAGUGUAAUUCCAUGCAAUACCAACGACGAUGUUGCUGAAUACGUAGCAGUUGAGGAAAACCUUGAAGAACCAACAGUUGAGGAGAAACCUGAAGAAUUAGCGGUUGAAGAGAAACCUGAAAAACCAGCAAUUGAGGAGAAAAGUGAAGAACCAAUAAUUGAGAAGAAACCUAAAGAACCAGCAGUUGAGGAGAAACCUGAAGAACAAACCGUUGAAGAGAAACUUGAAGAACCAACAAUUGAAGAUGAGAAACUUGAAAGGG